AAAAUUAGAGUGUUCAAAGCAGGCAGAUCCAAUUUUCUGCCACCGAAUACAUUAGCAUGGGAUAAUGGAAUAGGACCCUGUCCUCCUAUUUUCAGUUGGUUUUGGCAGCGCGAGGACUAGGGUAAUGAUUAAUAGGGAUAGUUGGGGGCAUUAAUAUUUAAUUGUCAGAGGUGAAAUUCUUGGAUUUAUGAAAGAUUAACUUCUGCGAAAGCAUCUGCCAAGGAUGUUUUCAUUAAUCAAGAACGAAAGUUAGGGGAUCGAAGACGAUCAGAUACCGUCGUAGUCUUAACCAUAAACGAUGCCGACCAGCGAUUAGGAGACGUUGAAUACAAAACACCACCAUCGGCGCGGUCGUCCUUGGCGUCGGUCCUUCACGGGGCCGGCGCGAGGGCGGCUAGCCCG
rnacentral:rRNA from 1 species